rnacentral:rRNA from 1 species
UACGGAGGAUCCAAGCGUUAUCCUGAUUUAUUGGGUUUAAAGGGUGCGUCGGCGGCUUAUUAAGUCAGGGGUGAAAGACGGUGGCUCAACCAUCGCAGUGCCCUUGAUACUGAUGAGCUUGAAUACACUUGAGGUAGGCGGAAUGUGACAAGUAGCGGUGAAAUGCAUAGAUAUGUCACAGAACACCAAUUGCGAAGGCAGCUUACUAAGGUGCAAUUGACGCUGAGGCACGAAAGCGUGGGGAUCAAACAGG